GGAGGGUGCAAGCGUUGUUCGGGAAUUACUGGGCGUAAAGCGCGGGCAGGUGGUCCUUUAAGUCCCUUGUGAAAUUCCCGGAGCUCAACUCCGGGAUGUGCGUGGGAUACUGGGGGACUGGAGACUGGUAGAGGCGAGCGGAAUUCCUGGUGUAGCGGUGGAAUGCGUAGAUAUCAGGAAGAACACCGGUGGCGAAGGCGGCUCGCUGGGCCAGUUCUGACACUCAUCCGCGAAAGCGUGGGGAGCAAACAGGAUUAGAUACCCUGGUAGUCCACGCCGUAAACGAUGGGCACUAGAUGCCGGGUCUAUAGACGGAUUCGGUGUCGCAGCUAACGCAUUAAGUGCCCCGCCUGGGGAGUACGGCCGCAAAGGCUG
rnacentral:rRNA from 1 species